AUUGAACGCUGGCGGCAGGCCUAACACAUGCAAGUCGAGCGAGCGGCGGACGGGUGAGUAAUGUCUGUGAAACUGCCUGCUGGGGGGGGAUAACUACGGGAAACGGUAGCUAAUACCGCAUACCCUCAGAUAUGCCCAGAUGGGAUUAGCUAGUAGGUGGGGUAACGGCUCACCUAGGCGACGAUAUCUAGCUGGUCUGAGAGGAUGAACAGCCACACUGGAACUGAGACACGGUCCAGACGCCUACGUGAGGCAGCAGUGGGGAAUAUUGCCCAAUGGGCGCAAGCCUGAUGCAGCCAUGCCGCGGUUGUGAAGAAGGCCUUCGGGUUGUAAAGCACUUUCAGCGGGGAGGCGUUACCCGCAGAAGAAGCACCGGCUAACUCCGUGCCAGCAGCCGCGGUAAUAC
rnacentral:rRNA from 1 species